CCUACGGGAGGCAGCAGUGAGGAAUAUUGGUCAAUGGACGAGAGUCUGAACCAGCCAAGCCGCGUGAGGGAUGAAGGUACAGAGUAUCGUAAACCUCUUUUGUCAGGGAACAAAGGCGGGGACGUGUCCCCGGAUGCGUGUACCUGAAGAAAAAGCAUCGGCUAACUCCGUGCCAGCAGCCGCGGUAAUACGGAGGAUGCGGGCGUUAUCCGGAUUUAUUGGGUUUAAAGGGUGCGCAGGCGGUCUGUUAAGUCCGCGGUCAAAGCCCGGGGCUCAACCCCGGCCCGCCGUUGAAACUGGCAGUCUCGAGUGGGAGAGAAGUAUGCGGAAUGCGCGGUGUAGCGGUGAAAUGCAUAGAUAGCGCGCAGAACUCCGAUUGCGAAGGCAGCAUGCCGGCUCCACACUGACGCUGAGGCACGAAAGCGUGGGUAUCGAACAGGAUUAGAUACCCCUGUAGUC
rnacentral:rRNA from 1 species